rnacentral:rRNA from 1 species
UAAAGCUACAAAGAGCUAAUGGGGAAUGCCUUGGUACUGACAGCCGACGAAGGACGUGUAAAGCUGCGAUAAGCCACGGGGAACUGCUAAAAGGUCUUGAUCCGUGGAAAUCCGAAUGGGGAAACCCUCCAGAGUUAAAACUUUGGAACCCGUAACUGAAUACAUAGGUUGCGCGGAGGAAAGCCUGUGAACUGAAACAUCUUAGUAACAGGACGAAGAGAAAAUAAACCAAUGAUUCCGAGAGUAGCGGCGAGCGAAAUUGGAAGAGCCUAAAUUGUGUGUACGUGAUAGCCUGCAAGCGUUGUGCACAUGAGGUUGUGGGACUUGCAUCAUAUUUUGCAGAAUAUGGAUUGAGUUAGAAAAUUAUUUAUUAGUUAAAGUCAACUGGGAAGUUGCGCCAUAGAGAGUGAUAGCCUCGUAAACGACAAUAAAUAAUCUCAAGUAAGUAUCCCGAGUAAGGCGGGGCACGUGAAACCCUGUCUGAAUCCACCGGGACCAUCCGGUAAGGCUAAAUACUAGUCAGUGACCGAUAGUGAACGAGUACAGUGAUGGAAAGGCGAAAAGAACAGUGAGAAGCUGAGUGAAAUAGACCCUGAAACCGUUAGCUUACAACCAGUCAGAGCACAAUUAAUUGUGUGAUGGCGUGCCUGUUGAAGAAUGAGCCGGCGAGUUAUUUUUUGUUGCGAGGUUAAGGAGAUCAUAUCCGGAGCCACAGGGAAACCGAGUCUGAAUAGGGCGUUAAGUAACAGGAAAUAGACCCGAACCUUGGUGAUCUAACCUUGACCAGGAUGAAGCGUGGGUAACACUACGUGGAGGUCCGAACCAACCGAUGUUGAAAAAUCGGUGGAUGAGUUGAGGUUAGGGGUGAAAUGCCAAUCGAACCAAGAGCUAGCUGGUUCUCCCCGAAAUGCGUUUAGGCACAGCGUUGGAUUUAUCUUGCAGGAGGUAGAGCACUGGUUUUGUGCGGGCGUCGAAAUGAUGUACCAAACAAUGUCAAACUCCGAAUACCUGUAAUGUCAUUAUCCAGCAGUGAGGCUAUGAGUGAUAAGAUCCAUGGCCAAGAGGGAAACAGCCCAGAACGCCAGUUAAGGUCCCUAAUAUAUGCUAAGUGGUUAAGGAGGUAGAGUUACUGAGACAACCAGGAGGUUGGCUUAGAAGCAGCCAUCCCUUGAAAGAGUGCGUAAUAGCUCACUGGUCAAGUGACUCCGCGCCGAAAAUACACCGGGACUAAAGCAUAUAACCGAAGCUGCGUCAUAUAGUUUACUAUAUGGGUAGGGGAGCGUACUGUAGUAAGACGAAGCUAGAGUGAAAACACUAGUGGAUGAGGCAGUAGUGAGAAUGUCGGCAUAAGUAGCGAAAACAUUGGUGAGAAUCCAAUGCACCGAAAACCUAAGGUUUCCCACGGCAGGCUCGUCCGCGUGGGGUUAGUCGGAUCCUAAGCUCAGGCCAAACGGCGUAGGCGAUGGACAAUAGGUUGAUAUUCCUAUACUAUCUGAUAAUCGUUAUCAGAAGCGGAGGGACGCAAGAGGAUAAGCACGCAGUCGACUGGAAGAGACUGUAUAAGCGUGUAGCUAGGUUUGACAGGAAAAUCCGUCAGAUCGUUAAUGUGAGGCGUGAUGUGGAGAGUCUACGGACUCGAAGGUGUUGACUCCAAAUUGCCAAGAAAAUCUUCGCUCUCGAGAUUAUUGGGUAUCCGUACCGUAAACCGCCACAGGUAGGUUGGUAGAAAAUACUAAGGUGCGCGAGACAACUCUCGCUAAGGAACUCGGCAAAAUCACCUCGUAACUUCGGGAGAAGAGGUACCCUGGUAGCGUGAAGCGAUUUACUCGUGAAGCGUGAUAGGGUCGCAGUGAAUAGGCCCAAGCGACUGUUUACCAAAAACACAGGUCUCUGCUAAGUCGAUCAAGACGAUGUAUAGGGGCUGACGCCUGCCCGGUGUCGGAAGGUUACGCGGAAAUGUUAGAAGCAAUUCAAAGCAUCGAAGCUAAGCCCCGAUGAACGGCGGCCGUAACUAUAACGGUCCUAAGGUAGCGAAAUUCCUUGUCAGGUA